AUGAAGAAAUAUGCAGACAAUAAGAGGGUGGAAAGAAGCUUUCAGGUGGGCGAUCCAGUGUACUUGAAGAUGGCUCCGUACAGAUUAGCUGCAUUUGGGUUCAGAGGAGCACUGAAACUACAAAAUAGAUUCUAUGGUCCAUUUUUGGUGCUUCAGAAAGUAGGCAAAGCAGCUUACAAGUUGCAGUUUCCAAAAGAUGUACAGAUCCACCCAGUGUUUCAUGUGAGCCAGUUGAAGAAACACAUUGGGGACAAAUCUAUACCAGACCCUAACUUACCAUUGGUAAAUGCGGAUGGGACAAUCAAAACAGGCCCAGAAGAAGUGCUGGAGGUUCAUCAAGUUCCACGACAGAACAUGCCCGUCGUCCAGUGGCUUAUCAGGUGGAUAAACCUGCCUCCUGAAGAUGCAACAUGGGAAGACGCAGACUUCAUCAAAUACACCUUCCUGGAGUUCUUCAGCUCUACUACUCGCGCUUGGAGGGAAGCAGCGGCAACGCCGUGA
rnacentral:rRNA from 1 species